rnacentral:snRNA from 1 species
ACCACAUUCCUAAUACAUUGAA